rnacentral:rRNA from 1 species
UGCGGUGGCGAUAGCAAGAAGGAUACACCUGUACCCAUGCCGAACACAGAAGUUAAGCUUCUUCACGCCGAGAGUAGUUGGUGGGAAACUGCCUG